UACGGAGGAUGCAAGCGUUAUCCGGAAUGAUUGGGCGUAAAGGGUCCGCAGGUGGCAAUGUAAGUCUGCUGUCAAAGAAUGAGGCUCAACCUCAUCAAGCAGUGGAAACUACGUAGCUAGAGUACGGUCGGGGGUAGAAGGAAUUCCUGGUGUAGCGGUGGAAUGCGCAGAUAUCAGGAGGAACACCGAUUGCGAAGGCAGCUCGCUGGAACGUAACUGACGCUGAGACGCGAAAGCGUGGGGAGCAAACAGG
rnacentral:rRNA from 1 species